rnacentral:rRNA from 1 species
UACGUAGGCAGCGAGCGUUGUUCGGAGUUACUGGGCGUAAAGAGUGCGUAGGCGGUUUUCUAAGUUUGGUGUGAAAUCUCCCGACUUAACUGGGAGGGUGCGCCGAAGACUGGAAGGCUAGAGUAUGAUAGAGGUGAGCGGAAUUUCCUGUGUAGCGGUGAAAUGCGUAGAUAUAGGAAGGAACAUCAGUUGCGAAGGCGGCUCACUGGAUCAAUACUGACGCUGAGGUGCGAAGGCGUGGGUAGCGAACAGG